GAAUUUUGGGCAAUGGGCGAAAGCCUGACCCAGCAACGCCGCGUGAGGGAUGAAGGCCUUCGGGUCGUAAACCUCUGUCGGAAGGGAAGAAAGGUCUCCGCUCGAACAGGUCGGGGGCUUGACGGUCCCUUCAAAGGAAGCGCCGGCUGACUCCGUGCCCGCAGCCGCGGUAAUACGGAGGGCGCAAGCGUUGUUCGGAAUCACUGGGCGUAAAGCGCGUGCAGGCGGCUUGGCAAGUCGGGUGUGAAAGCCCGGGGCCCAACCCCGGAACGGCAUCCGAAACUGCCUCGCUCGAGUCCCGGAGAGGGUGGCGGAAUUUCCGGUGUAGAGGUGAAAUUCGUAGAUAUCGGAAGGAACACCAGUGGCGAAGGCGGCCACCUGGACGGUGACUGACGCUGAGACGCGAAAGCGUGGGGAGCAAACAGG
rnacentral:rRNA from 1 species